AGCCCUUUUAUUUCACUUUAACAUUUGUCCAAGCAAUAAGCAGACCUUCUGAAAAAACUUUUCCACAUUUAGGUUUCCAACAAUACCAGAUUUCAUUGCAUGACUAUGAAGACUGCGUGGUCCCUCAAAGCUCCACUGAAGAGACAGUUCCUGAUCUAUGGAAGCUUGUAAACAGAGCUCCACAGACAAGAAAGGCCGCCGGCCUGGGAGUGAAGAUUCCAGCACAACCACACUGGAUGGGCAUACAUUUAAGCCAGGAUAGACUGAGCCAAAGGAAAAAAAGAAGCAGAUCGCAGACCAUGCAAUGGCCACAUCCUGUCUGUCCCAUCCUACAUCCCAAGCAAGAUACCAGGACAGUACCAUUCCUGAGUUCCAGGUAAACCUAACACAAAACUCUAAGGUACCCCUUAGAAGUUCUGAAAUAACUUUAUUUAUUGUAUCUGCAAUACAAUAUGUGACACUAUGAUACAAAAGACCAUUCAUAAACAUUUCUCUUGCCAAAGAUAUCAGUAAAAGUGAAUAAUGUUUAAGCUUUC
ensembl:lincRNA